AUUGAACGCUGGCGGCAUGCCUUACACAUGCAAGUCGAACGGUAACAGGUCUUCGGAUGCUGACGAGUGGCGAACGGGUGAGUAAUACAUCGGAACGUGCCCGAUCGUGGGGGAUAACGAGGCGAAAGCUUUGCUAAUACCGCAUACGAUCUACGUAUGAAAGCGGGGGAUCUUCGGACCUCGCGCGGACGGAGCGGCCGAUGGCAGAUUAGGUAGGUGGUGGGAUAAAAGCUUACCAAGCCGACGAUCUGUAGCUGGUCUGAGAGGAUGAUCAGCCACACUGGGACUGAGACACGGCCCAGACUCCUACGGGAGGCAGCAGUGGGGAAUUUUGGACAAUGGGCGAAAGCCUGAUCCAGCCAUGCCGCGUGCAGGAUGAAGGCCUUCGGGUUGUAAACUGCUUUUGUACGGAACGAAAAGCCUCUUUCUAAUAAAGAGGGGUCAUGACGGUACCGUAAGAAUAAGCACCGGCUAACUACGUG
rnacentral:rRNA from 1 species